rnacentral:rRNA from 1 species
UACGAAGGGGGCUAGCGUUGCUCGGAAUCACUGGGCGUAAAGGGUGCGUAGGCGGGUCUUUAAGUCAGGGGUGAAAUCCUGGAGUCAACUCCAGAACUGCCUUUGAUACUGAAGAUCUUGAGUUCGGGAGAGGUGAGUGGAACUGGCGAGUGUAGAGGUGAAAUUCGUAGAUAUUCGCAAGAACACCAGUGGCGAAGGCGGCUCACUGGCCCGAUACUGACGCUGAGGCACGGAAAGCGUGGGGAGCAAACAGG